rnacentral:lncRNA from 1 species
CCCAAAGCUAGCCGAUACCCCUAAAGUAAAAGCCCACAGAUAUUUCCCUACUCAAUUUGGAUACACCCCCAAUUACAGACGCCUCUCUCACUCCAAAAAUCUUCUUCUCUCUUUCACUCUGAGAAAUCUGUUGAAUCUUCCUAUCCAUCGUAUUCCUCUCUUUCACUCUGUGAACUUUGCUAUAUCAUUGGCUUUAUGGGUUUUUACAAAUAAUUUUUGCUGAUUUGGUGGACACUUCUUUGGGUAUCGUGAAUGGGGGUGACGAAUUUUUGAGGCAUUUGAGAAAACUUCCCCAAAACAGGUGCUCUCCCCCAAAUCCCUAAAUCCAACAGCAGUGAUUUUAGCCAUGUAAGUUCUUUUGAUGCCUUUUUUAACUCUUCAAUCUAUCCAUGGAGGUUGUAGAAUUGCUCUAGGGAUGGUGUAUUUAUAUUGAUUGAUAAAUAGUACAUCACCGCUGUGAAUCUGAAUUUUUUCUCGUUUUUAUUUUUAUUUUGUGGUGUCAAACCAGUAAUUUUUUGGUGAAACGGUGUUUUCUCUCCUUUUUUUCUUCUCUCUUUCGCUCUAACAAAUCCGAACAUGCAAAGGUUAGAGUUAAUUCUGAAAUGUUGUUUGUCUGUUCUCUAACAAAUUUUUUGGGAUUUGUGUUUUAACAGAUAUUUCAAAUUAAUUAAAUUGUCAAGUUCUCUUUUUCUUCUUGUUCUUCUUCUUUUAAUUAUAAAAGUGAUAUAUGGAGCAGAAGGAAAGAGAUGAACAUGAAUUAAGCCAAAAAAGAAAGAUAUAAACCUUAAAUUAAUUAAAUUUAAUAGAUAGUGCGCAGAUGGUUAAUUAUGUUUGUUUCUUCUUUUGAAUUGAUAAUAGCUUUUGCUAUCCCGAAAUCCAAAGGCUACAAGGUUUACAAAAUCCAAUACCUAUUGGAACUUACACAAAAAAAACCAUACUUUGAGUCUAAUUAGUUUGUUUUUGAAUCUAAGGCAAGAUUAUUUCUUGUUCUCUUUGCUCGAAUGCUCUCCAAGUAGUCCCUCUCUGAUGUCAUUUUUUAGUUUUUUUUUACAUGCUCCUCCUUGUUGAACUGUAGAACUUUCCUUGGUGGUAUAGAUAUUGUUAGCUGAGAGAAAAUUUAUUUCUGGUAGCCGAGGAGAAAUCAUUGCUGGUAACUUAGGGAACACUCGUUGCUGGUAAGUUUUCUUAAUUCAAAUUUUUGAUAAUUGGAUUUGCUGGUAGUGUAUUUGUAUUUCGCUUAUUUAUCUUGUUAUGUAUGUUACUCUGAAUUAGUUUUUUUUUUGUGCUAUCUUGGGGUUUAACUAAUGAUGCCUUGAGUUAAGUUACAAGAUGUUGCUGAAGUCUAAUUUUUUUUGGAAAUGAAAUGCAUGGGUUGAGUACUGCUCUAAAUUAAGUUACUACAAAUGACAAAAUAGGCAAGCAUUGUGUUAUUUAAUAUUGUUCUGUAAUAUUUUGUUGCAAGAAUACAAAAAAGUCAACCUAUUUCUUAGAGUUACCCAGCUAGCUAGAUAUUUAUUAUGUGAGCCUGCAGAAGACUCAUAAAAAUAUACAAAUGCACUAUGUUAACAUUGAUUAUCUAUGCCUCUUUUACUUAAAAAGGUUCUCAAUUUAAUCAUCUAAUUUAUUGGGAUAUUUUCUUUAGACGAAGCAGAUUGCUUAGCGCUAUAUUCUAGCACAAAGUCCUUUUGUUAAUGUGUAAGUAUUUUCUUUAGUUGAUAAGAAGUGGGAGCUUUAUUGUCUGUUCCUUAUUUUGGAGCAUCUCAUUGCUAUUUGAGACUUUCCUCAUGACCGUUGCUUUUCAGAAUACUACAUUAUAAAAAAAAUCCUAUACUAGUCUAAUCAUAAAUUGUAAAGAGAAUAUACUGUUUUAGUUGAAAUAACUCAAUACAUUAUGCAAACCACCACUUAUCUCUUUACAUGUUCCAACAGAUUAGCAUGCAAUGUACAAAAUAUAAUUUAGAUUAGCAUGCAAUGUACAACAGAUUAGCAUGAAUAUAAUUUAUAUUAUGAGUAUUGUAGGGUUUUUGUUUUGAUCUUUCGGAUUUCUUUUGAAAAGUCUGCAUCCAAAUUUCUUUAGCAAAAGUGAUUCGAUCUCAUACGGAGCCAAAUCAUUUCCCUUCAAAGAUGUGGUAUAGGUUUUAGGCUUAAUAUAUACUUUACCUAUCAACUUGUAUGAAAAAUCUUUUCACACGUUGAAUUUUCUUUAGACGCUUUAAGUUACUAGAAAAUUCUACAUGUUUAGCAUACCAAAAUUUCCUUAUUGAAACAAGUUAAAACUUUUAAGAAAAAUGAAAGAACUUUGCUGAAUUGUCAUUAUGUUAUUACCAUUUGGAGUAAAACCAAAAUAGGACAAGGUUGUGUGUCCUUGUAAGCAUUCAUAAAUCAAAUAUUGGUUAUUCACAUGUUGGUAUGAGUUAUGAAACUGCUGUGGAAGGUCAUCAUUGGAGGAUAAUAACAUCAGCGUUUUCACAUAUUAGUUUGCUUCAUCUUGUUUUUAACUGGAAUAAUCUGAAUAAAUGUGAAUACAUUCGCUUAAGCUUCAUAUAUGAAUCUGUAUUUAAAAGAGUAUUGAAAGAACUUAGAUAGCAUGCUAAUACUCUGAAAAUAAUUGAUAAAGAACGUGAGUUUAUCUGUUAUUGUUGAAAAAUUUGUCAAAGAUUGGUUCGGUUUUCCUAUUGAUGUUGGAUUUCCUGUUUCAUGAGUUUAUGAAGAGCUAUGUUUCCUCCUAUGGCAUGAGCUUUGCCUAAGGAUCAUUGAGAGCACUUGAGUCAUUUGACUUGAUAUCUAGACUAGUUACACUGAUUCUUAGAUGGAUCACAACAUUUUCUUAUCUAAUGCUCGAAGUUGGAAUAGGUAAUUGGCUAUUAUUUCAGACUUUGCAACUGUCUCAACUCACUUAGAUCUGGCAUAGCUUAUUUAUCUAUUGCAUGUUGUCUUCCUCAUAUGAGUACAUCUGAUUUUGUUCUUUUGUGUAUAUUGUCAACCUUAGUUUUUGUGUUUCGUUGUCACUGUUUUAAUAUGCUUCCCUGCUAGUUAGUUGUCAUGUCAGUGAUGGCUUUUCUAACCUAAUAGACCUAUAGAGAUACCAUGGUUAUACCAGAGGCCCUCCAUCAAUCAAAUUUUUGCUAGGAUUCAAGUUAGGAAGAAGUUCCCAAUGACAAAUGAAACUAAAGAAGAGAAACUCUAUGGAUGUUUAUCUUGUUGUAAGCUACACAUCCCUUAAUGGUCAACCUGUUGCUAUGUAGUGGAUAUAGUAGUAGGUUUAACUUGUUAUUCACAAAUGUUUCUUAUGCAUCUUUUUUUCUUAGUAGUGAGUGUCAGCUCAAAUUUUUAUCAUCAAAAUCAUGUCUAGUCCAUCCUUCAUGCUGCAGUUGUAUGGGUUUUAUUUUUCUAGCUCAAUACCUAUUUGCAGUGUAAUUGGUACAAAAGAUUUGGCCUCUUUUAGGCCAACGGCCCUGGUCAUUGUGUAGGGAAUCAAGUGGACCAUGUCCACGGUUUCGUAUUGCUCUCUCAUUUUUUAAAAUUCUUCUAGUGGUUUGAUUUAUUGCCUUUACCUAGUGGGGUCAACUUGUGCAAAAGUGUUCGUCCUGAGACUGCAACCAGUGUUUAUUUGGAAGUUUUUCCCUUACUUUGUUGCUUAAAAACUAGUUCAUAUACAGUGCUGCAGCAUGUUCCUAGGCUCAUGACUAGCAUCUUUUAUGUCCAAUCUUUUCUCUUUCUUUUUUGUUCCAUAUAUUUAGUCUAGGCAUUCAAUAUCAUUGUGUGCUAGGAGCAUUCUUAGACCGGAUUCUCUCGAAGGGUAAUGACUUUAUUUAUCCUCAUUUGUAGGUGGAGUAGAUCAAGAAAUGAAAGAUGAAGGCGGUGAAGAUCUAGACCUUACUUAAGAUGAAUUUUGAAUUGCUAUAGAUGAAUGUUCUAGAAAUCUUUUGUUAUCGACAUUUUGAAAAUUUAUUAAACUUAUGCACUUGGGUAGAACAUUUGCUUUAUGGAUAUUAUUAGCUUGUUCGACAAUUUAUGUUAUUAAUAGUUUCAUUUUGUGAUUUAUUUAAAUUUUAGUGUUAUUAUAAUUUAUUAUAUAUAUAAAAUUUAUUUACAUAUUUUUGUUUUAAA